UCCGCCUUUUAAAACAUGGUUUCCAUACAGAAAAGACAUCUCAGAAGUUGGUUUAAGCCAAACCUUGUGCUUGGCAUUGGGGGACAAUAGCCCUAGCGAGUGAACGGUGAGAUGAAAACUACCGCCAUGAGUGAACUUUCCGAUGCAGGUGCCGAGAGAGACGAGGUUAGAGCGGGCUACGUUGGUGGCUCGUUUGACGAGGGAGUCACUGACGUAAUAGACCUUGUUCUUAUGGAGGCGGAAGCAGUAGCGGCCAGGAUUUGGUUCGGGGCCUUCGUGGGAGGGAUUCUCGACGAUGUUCUUGAGGUUGUUUCCUGUAAAUUUGUGAAGCUUUUCGAACACGACGGUGGUCUCCUGCUCGUCUAAGGGCCUCAUCGUCGCCGAUCGGAGCUGGAGGAAUGAGCGGUGGCGCGGUG
rnacentral:misc_RNA from 1 species